AUGCUCAAAGGACCAUCCUGAAAGUGGGUCAGACCUCACUGGAGAAGGUGUGAUUCAGUCAUCAGACAGAGAGAAGUUGGCAACAUGGCCAGGUCCGCAUUUGCUUAAAGGCAUUGAGUAAAUGACAGGCCGCCAUCCAGAGUGUAGGCAGGAGGACAACAGAAUUUUAGCGUAUCAAUUUUGCUGUGAAGAGACAGAGUGAGUUUCUGGAAGAGAUCCAGGGUCUGUUCACAAGGCUUGCAGAACAUCUUCUAAAUGAUUCCAGAUUCAAUUUACAAGUCUCUCACAAUUUAUGGUAAGCAGUAAAAGUUUUCAUUUUUUUAUUUUCUUUUUUGACAUACAUAAAAUCUGAAUAAUUGGACUUUUACUUCCAACCGAGACAGGUAAUCAGGACUAACCUUCCUCUAUCAUUAUGCAACUAAAAAACUGAGACCAACUAUGACAAACAGUUUUUGUGCAUCAGACAACAGACAAUGCAAGAAACUGAUCUCCAAAAGAUGAUCUGUCCAUUCAUGAGAGUGCGGUGCUGAAGUCACACAAACCAACAGCCAAUUUCAGAUUGACUGGGGAAAAGCUGAAAACAUUUCCCCUCAAAUCUAGAAAAAUACAAAGAUGUCUACCUUCACCACUCUAAUUCAACAUAGUACUAGAAGUUUUAGCAAGAGCAAUUAGGGAGGAGAAAGAAACAAAGGACAUCAAAAUUGGAAAAGAUGAAGUCAAAUUAACUAUGUUUGCAGAUGGCAUGAUGUUGUACAUGGAAAAACCUAAACACUCUACCAAAAGGCAGUUAGAAUUGAUAAGCCAAUUCAGUCAAGUUUCAGGUUGUAAAAUAAACAUAUGAAAAACAGUUGCUUUUUGUAUGCUAAUAAUGAAUUACAGAAAGAGAAAUCAAGAAAGAAAUCCCAUUCAAAAUAGCCACACACACACACACACACACACACAAACUAUUUAGGAAUAGAUUUAACAAAAGAAGUGAAAGAUCUCUACAAAAAAAUUAUAAAACACUGAUGAAAGAAAUCAUCAAGGACACAAAAAAUGGAAAGAUAUUCUUUGCUCAUGGAUUAGAAGAAUCAACAUCAUUAAGAUGUCUAUACUACCUAAAGCAGUCUACAAAUGCAAUGCAAUCCCUUUCAAAAUACCAAGAAAUUCUUCACAGAAUUAGAAGCAGAAAUCCUAAAAUUCAUACGGAAUCACAAAAAACCCAAAAUAACCAAAGCAAUUCUGAACCAUAAAAAUUAGUCUGGAAGCAUCAUAAUACCUGACUUGAAAGCAUAAUUCAAAGCUAUAGUAAUUAAAACAUCAUGGUACUGGCAUUAAGACAUUAUACAUGGAUCAAUGGAACAGAAUAGAGUGCUCAGAAAUUAACCCACGUACAUAAAACCAGCUGAUUUUUGACAAAAGUGCUCAGACCAUACAGUGGAUUCAUAAUAUCUCUUCAACAAGUGGUGCUGGCAAAACUGGACGUAUAAAUUUAGGAGAAUGAAAUUAGAUACAUACCUCUGACAACAUACAAAAAUCAGUUCAAGAUGUAUCAAGGACCUAAAUUUAAAACCUGAGGCUAUGAAGCUGCUGGAAGAAAAAGUAUGGGAAAACUACAAGACAUUGGUGUAGGGAAUGACUACUAGAACAAGACCCCCAAAGCACAAGCAACAAAAGCAAAACUCAACAAAUGGUACUACAUCAAACUCAAAAGUUUUUGCACAGCAAAGAAAAUGAUCAAUAGAGUGAAGAGACAUUCAACAGAAUGGGAAAAAUUAUUUGCAAACCACCUAUCCAAACAAAGGAUUAAUUCCUGAAUAUAUCAGCAACUUAUAAACCUGAACAACAAGAAAAAGUCCAGUUGAGGAAUGGGCAAAACUUCAAUAGCUCUCAAAAGAAGAAAUACAAGUGGCAAACAAAUACAUGAAAAAAAUGCUCAACAUCACUGGCCAUCACAAAAUGCAAAUCAAAACCACAAUAAGAUAUCAGUUCACCACAUCAAAAUGGCUAAAAUCAAAAGCACAGAGAAUAACAAAUCCUGGCAGGAUGUGGACAAAGGGGGAUACUUAUACACCAUUGGCAGGAAUGUAAACUAGGCAGCCAUUGUGGAAAACAGUGUGGAGAUUUCUUUUUUUUAAGAUUUAUUUUGUUUACUCAAAAGUCAGAAUUACA